CACAAAAAUGGUUAAAAGCUAUACAAAUAAAGACAAAAAAAACAGAAUCAAGAUUUAUUCUAGCUAUUUAGGACACUGACUCCCAGCAAGGAGACCCUACAUUUCAAUCUGUUUGAUCAAAUUACCAUGUAAAUCUGCUUUCAUCAAAUUCACUUAAGAUGAAAGAAUCAGUAAAUACAAUGAGCUCUAAAUGAUUUACCCCAAAAGAUGGCAGUAAUGACGUAGUACUAAAAGAAAAUAAUCCGUAAUGUAUUUAUACUAGAAAACUGCAUUCAUGUGCUUUUAAAUAUCAGACUUAUUUUCCUAAUUGGGGGCUAGCAGACACUAUAUAAAUGAAGAAAUUUGUAUUCUCUAAGUUCAUAAUAGAGAAGAUGAAGGAAAGAAAGGAAGAACAGGAGUGUUCAGCAGCGGAGAAAAGCUAAAUGUUAGUCCUAAAUUUCAGUCUGUUCCUGAUAAAAAAUGAAUAA
rnacentral:lncRNA from 1 species